AUGGGCGUAAGCGCACGCAAGCGUGUCUGUCAAGUCGGAUGUGAAAUACCCCGGGCUCACCUGGGAACUGCAUUCGAAACUGGCAGGCUAGAGUCUUGUAGAGGGGGGUAGAAUUCCAGGUGUAGCGGUGAAAUGCGUAGAGAUCUGGAGGAAUACCGGUGGCGAAGGCGGCCCCCUGGACAAAGACUGACGCUCAGGUGCGAAAGCGUGGGGAGCAAACAGGAUUAGAUACCCUGGUAGUCCACGCUGUAAACGAUGUCGAUUUGGAGGUUGUGCCCUUGAGGCGUGGCUUCCGGAGCUAACGCGUUAAAUCGACCGCCUGGGGAGUACGGCCGCAAGGUUAAAACUCAAAUGAAUUGACGGGGGCCCGCACAAGCGGUGGAGCAUGUGGUUUAAUUCGAUGCAACGCGAAGAACCUUACCUGGUCUUGACAUCCACAGAACUUUCCAGAGAUGGAUUGGUGCCUUCGGGAACUGUGAGACAGGUGCUGCAUGGCUGUCGUCAGCUCGUGUUGUGAAAUGUUGGGUUAAGUCCCGCAACGAGCGCAACCCUUAUCCUUUGUUGCCAGCGGUUAGGCCGGGAACUCAAAGGAGACUGCCAGUGAUAAACUGGAGGAAGGUGGGGAUGACGUCAAGUCAUCAUGGCCCUUACGACCAGGGCUACACACGUGCUACAAUGGCAUAUACAAAGAGAAGCGACCUCGCGAGAGCAAGCGGACCUCAUAAAGUAUGUCGUAGUCCGGAUUGGAGUCUGCAACUCGACUCCAUGAAGUCGGAAUCGCUAGUAAUCGUAGAUCAGAAUGCUACGGUGAAUACGUUCCCGGGCCUUGUACACACCGCCCGUCACACCAUGGGGAGUGGGUUGCAAAAGAAGUAGGUAGCUUAACCUUCGGGAGGGCGCUUACCACUUUGUGAUUCAUGACUGGGGGUGAAGUCGUAACAGGGGUAAACCGUAAA
rnacentral:rRNA from 1 species